AUGCGUCUGACUUGGUUUUAGUAGAGGGUGAUUUUAAAGCGUUCGACGUCUGUGCUAAUGGUAAACACAGUUGCUCUCCAUAUGCUGACUGCAAGCAUCAAGCGACUUAUGGAACGUACACCUGUCACUGCAGAGAGGGGUUUGAAGAUGACAGUGUUGAACAAAAGGGACGUAUUUGUACAGGAUUAUGCCCAGUCUGUAUGAACGGAGGAAUUUGUCAGAGAGUCGUAGGGAACCUAUCGUC